ANACGCUGGCGGCGUGCCUAAUACAUGCAAGUCGAGCGGACCAAAGGGAGCUUGCUCCUGGAGGUUAGCGGCGAACGGGUGAGUAACACGUGGGCAACCUGCCUGUAAGACUGGGAUAACAUCGAGAAAUCGGUGCUAAUACCGGAUAAUAAAAAGAACUGCAUGGUUCUUUUUGAAAGAUGGUUUCGGCUAUCACUUACAGAUGGGCCCGCGGCGCAUUAGCUAGUUGGUGGGGUAACGGCUCACCAAGGCGACGAUGCGUAGCCGACCUGAGAGGGUGAUCGGCCACACUGGGACUGAGACACGGCCCAGACUCCUACGGGAGGCAGCAGUAGGGAAUCUUCCGCAAUGGACGAAAGUCUGACGGAGCAACGCCGCGUGAGUGAUGAAGGUUUUCGGAUCGUAAAACUCUGUUGUUAGGGAAGAACAAGUGCCGUUCGAAAGGGCGGCACCUUGACGGUACCUAACGAGAAAGCCACGGCUAACUACGUG
rnacentral:rRNA from 1 species